GAUGAACGCUGGCGGCGUGCCUAAUACAUGCAAGUCGAGCGAACAGACGAGGAGCUUGCUCCUCUGACGUUAGCGGCGGACGGGUGAGUAACACGUGGAUAACCUACCUAUAAGACUGGGAUAACUUCGGGAAACCGGAGCUAAUACCGGAUAAUAUAUUGAACCGCAUGGUUCAAUAGUGAAAUACGGUUUUGCUGUCACUUAUAGAUGGAUCCGCGCCGCAUUAGCUAGUUGGUAAGGUAACGGCUUACCAAGGCAACGAUGCGUAGCCGACCUGAGAGGGUGAUCGGCCACACUGGGACUGAGGCACGGUCCAGACUCCUACGGGAGGCAGCAGUAGGGAAUCUUCCGCAAUGGGCGAAAGCCUUACGGAGCAAAGCCGCGUGAGUGAUGAAGGUCUUCGGAUCGUAAAACUCUGUUAUUAGGGAAGAACAAAUGGGUAAGUAACUAUGCACGUCUUGACGGUAACUAAUCAGAAAGCCACGGCUAACUACGUG
rnacentral:rRNA from 1 species